rnacentral:rRNA from 1 species
CCUACGUGCGGCAGCAGUGGGGAAUAUUGCACAAUGGGCGAAAGCCUGAUGCAGCAACGCCGCGUGAGAGAUGAAGGCCUUCGGGUCGUAAAGCUCUGUCCUCAAGGAAGAGAAUGACGGUACUUGAGGAGGAAACCCCGGCUAACGACGUGCCAGCAGCCGCGGUAAUACGUAGGGGGCGAGCGUUAUCCGGAAUUACUGGGCGUAAGGGGGGCGGAGGUGGUUUCUUAAGGCAGAGGUGAAAGGCUACGGCUCAACCGUAGUCAGCCUUUGAAACUGGGAAACUUGAGUGCAGGGUAGGCGAGUGGUAUUCCUCGUGUAGCGGUGAAUUGCGUAGAUAUUAGGAGGACCACCAGUUGCGACGGCGGCUCUCUGGACUGUAACUGACACUGAGGCAC